rnacentral:lncRNA from 1 species
GAAAUACCAGUUAUGUAUAUAUCCCUUCUGAUAUACACUCUGUGGGAGAGUGUAUCUUCCAGAUAUAUACCAUCCUACAUAUGCUUCUUACAAUGUAACAUCAACACUUCAGUCAAGAGGUGAAGUCUAUUAAACAUAUCUCAUUUCUUUCUCUUUCCUUUUCCUCAUUCUCUGACUUCUCUCUUUUAUCUUCAGCCACUCAUGGAACCCAGCCAGCCACUCUGCUGUCAGCAAGUCCACACUAGCCAUGUAGAAAAAUAACACGGAAAGUUCCACAUGGAGAGAAACUAACUCCCCCAUUCAAUAGCUAGUCAAAAAAACAACCAAGGAUAAGCAAUCCUUCAGAUGAGUCCAGCUUCCAGCCAUUGGGUCUUCCAACUGAGGCCUCAGAUACUGUGGAAAAGAGGAUGGAGAGAAGAAUGAACAUUAAGGAGGGAGUGAAGAUGAAGAAAAUGCAAAGAUACGUGCACCCUACUUCUUUAGGAAGGCUUCAAGAAACUGCCAUGGGAUACUGCUGCUUACAUCUCACUGGCAAGUGAUGUCACAUGGCUAUACCUACGUGCAUGGAAGGCUGACGUACAUGAUCUUUAUUCUGGGCUACUAUGAGCUCAGCUAAAAUUUCCAUUACCAUGGAAGAACAGUUUUAUGGAUGCAGGCAGAAGACACAAGACUCCUGGGUCAGAGACAAAGGGCAUUAUUUCUCAGGACACAGGAAGCAUCAUGAGCAUCAGUAUGUUUGGGUCAGUUCUCUUCACCUACAAGUCCCACACGGAUGUUGCCGAUGGGGCUAGAUGACAUCUGCACAUUCAAAUAGCGAAGCAUCAGGAGCGUCUGCCAUGUUAUUCAGCUACUCAGCUUUGCUAGUGGCACUGUGGAUUAAAGACCCCCUGCUAACAUUGUAGAUGUUGUGCAAUGUACCAGAGAAAAAGAAAAAGAAAAGAGAAAAUGACUCUUCUUUAAGGAGUAGAUGACUUCCCUGAGAUUUCUAGACACAUAAGUACAAUUGACAAAAACAUGGACAAAUUAUUAACUCUAAAUGUGCAAAAAAAGAGCAUCAAGAAGAGAUACUUCCCCUCAGAGGAGGGAAAGAAAAACACAGAAAUGUGGAGUAAGGAAUGAGGUGACUGAUGUCAGUUGGCAAAGCUGUGAAAAUCUUAACCAAGGAGAGUCAAAAUGCUGCAGCAGAAUUACUAAAUUGUUUGGAAAAGUAAGAGGAUAGUAAAGGAGGAGGCACUGGUCAGGGACAUAACUUACUAGCAGGUUUGAACGUCAACCAUGAAUUUCCUGUUCCUUCAUUUUAUUUCUUCACUGCCAUCUUAUUCUCAUCAUCUCAGCCAUACCCAGGAUGCAAGCAAUGAAUUCAGGAAGAAAGAUGAUCUAAUGUUACAAAACAUUAUGAAGCAUCAUCUUAUUCCUGUGAAAUUCUUCUUUCUCGGUAUUUUUGCACUUCUCAGUCCUGUAAGGCAGAAUCAUACAAUUUUCAUUUUGCCUACGAAAUAGUAACAGAUUCCUGACAGUUAGAAUUCUUCCUGACAGAGACAGAAUGUGAUUCAAAGGUUCACAGUGACUGAUUUCUAUGCCAGAAAUGUGUAUCGUAGUCUACCUGAGAAGCAGAUCUACUUGGUAUCAUUUGUAAAGGAUGUAAAAUUUUGCCAGUGAUAAUGGCAGAUUUGUUCAAAGCUGCAGUGUGUCCCUUUUGCGUGUUAUGAUGGAAAUAACUACUACAGUCUACAAAGCAGGAUUCUAGGCGUG